GCCAGGUGUGGUGGUGCACGCCUGUAAUCCCAGCUACUCAGGAGGCUGAGGCAGGAGAAUAGCUUGAACCCCGGAGGCAGAGGUUGCAGUGAGCCAAGAUCGUGCCACUGCACUCUAGCCUGGGUGACAGAGUAAGACUCUGUCUCUA
rnacentral:SRP_RNA from 1 species